rnacentral:rRNA from 1 species
AGCGAACGCUGGCGGCAGGCCUAACACAUGCAAGUCGAACGAACCUUUCGGGGUUAGUGGCGGACGGGUGAGUAACACGUGGGAACGUGCCUUUAGGUUCGGAAUAACUCAGGGAAACUUGUGCUAAUACCGAAUGUGCCCUUCGGGGGAAAGAUUAAUCGCCGUUAGAGCGGCCCGCGUCUGAUUAGCUAGUUGGUUGAGGUAAUGGCUCACCAAGGCGACGAUCAGUAGCUGGUCUGAGAGGAUGAUCAGCCACAUUGGGACUGAGACACGGCCCAAACUCCUACGGGAGGCAGCAGUGGGGAAUCUUGCGCAAUGGGCGAAAGCCUGACGCAGCCAUGCCGCGUGAAUGAUGAAGGUCUUAGGAUUGUAAAAUGCUUUCACCGGGGACGAUAAUGACGGUACCCAGAGAAGAAGCCCCGGCUAACUUCGUG